UACGGGGGGAGCAAGCGUUGUUCGGAAUUACUGGGCGUAAAGGGCUCGUAGGCGGCCAACUAAGUCAGACGUGAAAUCCCUCGGCUUAACCGGGGAACUGCAUCUGAUACUGGAUGGCUUGAGUUCGGGAGAGGGAUGCAGAAUUCCAGGUGUAGCGGUGAAAUGCGUAGAUAUCUGGAGGAAUACCGGUGGCGAAGGCGGCAUCCUGGACCGACAUUGACGCUGAGGAGCGAAAGCUAGGGGAGCAAACGGGG
rnacentral:rRNA from 1 species